GCAGAGAUGCAUGUAAGUUAAAACAAGAGACACUUCGGCACAAACCACCACGAGAAGGAUAAAAACAAUCAAGAGAAACCCAAAAACAUAAUAAACACGGCCCAUCCAGAUGCUAGACAUGAUAAAGAAGAGCUCAAUGAAAAGUGUACCAAAGGGAAGAGUUCCGGCACCAAGAACGAGAAGCCAAGAUGGGUACUUUUGAGCUGGUAUUUCCCUAGGAAUCUGGUUGGUUCGAACUGGGUAUUCAAUAUGGGGUGCCUUUGCCCCAAAGUAUCCCCCAAUAAGAGUAAGGGGAACAGAGAUGCAGAACCAGAGCAGAAUCAGAACGACAAACAAAGAGAUUGGAAUGGCACCUGUGCUAUGACUACCCCACAGUAGGAAAUUCAAAAUCGUUAAGAUAAAAAAGGCAAUACCAGGGAAAAAGCAGGCAGCCCUCCAGGAAACUGAAACCCAU
rnacentral:misc_RNA from 1 species